CUUGAAGAGGUCUAGGGGCUGGAAAAACAAAGAAGAAAGAAAGGGUUUCGGAGAGUGAGAGAUAGUAGGAGGAAACCGAGAGCUGGGGGUUUCGUCUGAGAGCUUGGGGAGGCUGCGCAAAAGAGAGAUCGAGGGAGCUGGAAAAGCUUGGGGAGGCUGCGGAAAAGGAGAUUGAGAGGGAGAAACUUCAGGGAAGCGAGGGACACCGGAGAGGGAAAAAGCUGAGGAAAAAGAAAGAGAACCGAGGAGAUUGGGAGAGCGGUGGCGGCUGAGCAAGGAGGAGCUUCAAGUUACGGGCCAGAGGUUUUCUCACCAUCUUCAUGAUUCUCCU
rnacentral:lncRNA from 1 species